GAUGAACGCUGGCGGCGUGCCUAAUACAUGCAAGUCGAGCGAACGGACGAGAAGCUUGCUUCUCUGAUGUUAGCGGCGGACGGGUGAGUAACACGUGGAUAACCUACCUAUAAGACUGGGAUAACUUCGGGAAACCGGAGCUAAUACCGGAUAAUAUUUUGAACCGCAUGGUUCAAAAGUGAAAGACGGUCUUGCUGUCACUUAUAGAUGGAUCCGCGCAGCAUUAGCUAGUUGGUAAGGUAACGGCUUACCAAGGCAACGAUGCAUAGCCGACCUGAGAGGGUGAUCGGCCACACUGGAACUGAGACACGGUCCAGACUCCUACGGGAGGCAGCAGUAGGGAAUCUUCCGCAAUGGGCGAAAGCCUGACGGAGCAACGCCGCGUGAGUGAUGAAGGUCUUCGGAUCGUAAAACUCUGUUAUUAGGGAAGAACAUAUGUGUAAGUAACUGUGCACAUCUUGACGGUACCUAAUCAGAAAGCCACGGCUAACUACGUG
rnacentral:rRNA from 1 species